rnacentral:rRNA from 1 species
GACAUAGGUGGCGAACGUUAUCCGGAAUUAUUGGGCGUAAAGCGCGCGCAGGCGGUCCUUUAAGUCUGAUGUGAAAGCCCACGGCUCAACCGUGGAGGGUCAUUGGAAACUGGGGGACUUGAGUACAGAAGAGAAGAGUGGAAUUCCACGUGUAGCGGUGAAAUGCGUAGAGAUGUGGAGGAACACCAGUGGCGAAGGCGACUCUUUGGUCUGUAACUGACGCUGAGGCGCGAAAGCGUGGGGAGCAAACAGG